UACCUCCACCUUCCGUACAUACAACAAACACUGGAAAAAAUAUGGGAUUUUUUUUUUUUUUUUUAAUGGUAUCGCAACCCUGGCGCAUUCAGCCAAACGAGUAAAACGGGGAAACGGAAUUAAAGGAUUACAUUAUAACGGAUAAGUCGGAAUUUGGACAAGGAUCAGCGAAAAUUAUAUUAUAAUAAAUUAUAAUUUUAUAUUAUGACGUUAAAGGAAUUAAUAUAAUGAUUUAAAUAUAUAUGGAGAAGAAUCAUUCAUUAAUAUUUGAUUAAUAUACAGGAGUGUUGUAAUAGAUGUGGGAAACGGAACUUUUAAAUCUGACAGCUGUCUUAAUAAUAUAGAACGAUCAUCCAGGUUACAAUUUACUACCUGAAAAGAAUAUAUGAUUAAGAUCAGCGGGAUCAGCUCCACAAAUACAUGCGGAACUGGCCACGCGAUUUUGUAGUUUCAGGUGUUCCGGUGUACACACGUGACCCAAUCUCAUUCGAAUUAACAUACUGGUUGCAGGCUUUGGCAAAGAGAUUUUAGCAAAUCAAGGAUUCCAAAGCACUCACCACUAUACACAGGAUUCUGGAGGCAAUUUUAUCUUUUGGAAAUACAUCAUCAGCUGCUUCUGUGAUCAUCCGGGCCAAAGCAACCGAGCAACAAACUACGUCAGUAUCAUUUAAACUAGGCAAAAACAAUAAUUUCUUCUCUACACAGCAUUUAAAGUUUUUCCAGUCAGCAUUACAUAGAUUGUAUUUAAGCCUAGGGCUAGGUUUCGGAGAUGGUCGCAUAGACGAAGAAAAUGAGACUAUAAUUGGAAAAUGAUCACUACCAAAUGUAGAAUCUAGAGUUUGCCAGGUGAAAGAAGAUGCCAGAUCAGCAGAGCAAAUGGAUAGAUCAACAGCGCUGGGUGAUUCUGUAGGCGCUGUACGGCGAGUUGGAGCCAGUAUUUAGGACACAAAGAUUGUGAUCAUCUAAGAUUUUUAAAACACGAUGUCCAUUAUAGUUGGAUACUG